UUUCAAAGCACAGGGUUCCCAGACUCCCUUGGCAUCACAGACGUGUGCUAGCAAGGCGUCACAUCUUGAGGUGUUCUGGUGAGAUGCCUGCUGAAUUCAAAGCAAGGCAAUUCUGCCUCUUCCCUGCGGCGCUGCUGAUGGCAGAAGCACUGUGGGAUGGGGGCUCUGUGGCCACAACCAGAGCACAGCAUUCUCUGCUAGGUUCCCUCAGGAAGCCUCAUUUUGCCUGUCCUGUACAGCACCCCUUUCCUCCAUGUUCUGCCCCUUGACAGACUGAUGUUAUUAUCUGGGCAGUAGAGCCUGCAUGAAUUGGCUGCUUCCCUUUCUCCUAGAAAAAAUGUGAACCGAGCUGUUUACAGAUCGAUGUGGAGAGCUCAUUAUACCGCUGACCUCAUUCUGCUGGAAGGGGAGCUGGCUCAGUCUACAGCCUGGUCUCUUGAAGGUCGGCCACGUGUGCAGUGGUAAUUUAGGAGGUCUCUGCUCCGACUUGUCUUCAUUGCCUCUCUCCCAGAGGGUGGCUGACGCAGAACAAAGGCAGCAGAGUGGAAGAGACACCUUUCGUGGGUGCAAUCAUGGAAGAUAGAAGUGGGUGCAAUCAUAGAAGAGCAAUCGUGGAAGCUUUUGGAUUUUACUAUGGGGAAGCAUAAGUCAUCAGAAGCUCCUGUAUUAUACAGCUGAUACAUGCUUUUGCAGCCUCUUGAUGGUUUUUCUGAACAGUAGGAAGUGUUCUAUAUUAUAGAAACCUCAUUUUUAGGUAGGUGCUGGACAGCAUGGAAUCCUGCAAGAUGGCUCCCAACACUUGUGUGCUUGCAUUGAUGGAGCUCUUUGAGCUUUCUUUUCUAAACCAUAACUUCUUUUAGUUCUAUUGUAUUGUAUUGAAAUGCCCUAUUUAAAUGACUAGAAAGUGACUUGUAGGUACAGAUUGUAUAGGUUUCAGUCAACAAGGGUGUUCCAGAAUGACUAUCAUCUAUAACCAAUACAAGUCUUCUCAAUUGCCCUCAGAAUCCAACAGUCAGGAUCGGGUAGCUUUGUUGUAGUGGAACUAUGAAUAUUUUAUUACAUGAAUCAGAUGGUGAAUUUAUCCAGUGAAUAUCAAGAUCAUUUCAAUAACAUCUCAUUUUAGCAUUUGAUCGACUUGUUUAGGUUAAUUUUCUGUGCUAACAGUGUUUACAUAAUACAUAAAUACUCUGAUACCUGUAUUAAUGUAGUGUAUUACCUCCUGAACGCAUUGUAGGCUCUUAAGCACUUAAUCAAAUUCCUUGGGAUUAUCUUCUGCAUCCUCUUUUGUAGGCGGGUUUGUAGACCAGUUUGACCAUUUCUAUCUGGGGAGGGCUGUUUAACCUGAGCACAUAUGGGACUUGUUGUUCUGCUACUACAAAUCCAGUGAAGGUACAUCUCCUUUUAGGAGUGUGAUUGCUGCAUGCUCACAUUUGAAAGAGCAUUAGGUCUUUUUUUUUUUAAAGUAGGCAUCCCCUGUGACAUUUUAUCCUUUAUUUAUCCUCUAUUUAUAUCCUUGAUAUAAGUGUUUCGUGUUCUAUUUCAACAGUUAUAUUUCAGUUCAUUUCUGUUCAUUUAUUUACAUGGUUAAAAAGUAAAUUUUUUGCUCUUCUACUUUGUAAACAUUUUUAAAUGCCCCAAAAAAAUGUUAUCUACCAUAAAUAGAGCAUUUCCCAGCUGUAUGUUCAUGCAUUUAUUUUGGUCUUAAAUUCCUUUCCAAUGUGUAGUGAGUGCAAUACAUUACUGCAAAUUGCUUGGUUUUGGCAGGCGUUACACUGAGCCCCUUGUACUGAUCCCUUUCCUUGUGUUAGGAUUUUUUUUUUUUACAUCUAC
ensembl:lncRNA